UACAGAGGUCCCAAGCGUUGUUCGGAUUCACUGGGCGUAAAGGGUGCGUAGGUGGUUGUGCAAGUCUGAUGUGAAAUCUCCGGGCUUAACCCGGAAAUGGCAUUGGAAACUGCAUGGCUAGAGGGUUGGAGGGGGGACUGGAAUACUUGGUGUAGCAGUGAAAUGCGUAGAUAUCAAGUGGAACACCAGUGGCGAAGGCGGCUCUCUGGGACGGUACUGACGCUGAGACGCGAAAGCGUGGGGAGCGAACAGA
rnacentral:rRNA from 1 species